rnacentral:lncRNA from 1 species
UAAAUUAGAUCUUAUGGAGAGAAUGAAAAUAAAGAUGCGAGGUAAAAUUCAAAAUGAACCAUGUAAUAAUAUUUCAACUGUCAGUAGAAGGGAACAAGAGGAGAAAGGUCAGAAACACCCCAUCCCCAUUGCACAUGGGACAUUCUAAAGUAGCCGAAAAAACGAGUCAUAACUUUAAACGAUACAUAUCAAUCAUAUUGAAGGAAAAAAAUGUUGU